CCUACCUUUACAUUCUCAAGAGAUAAAUGAGGAUAGGGAGAAUGAGAGUGAAGACAAGGCGUAAGUGGACUAGUGGACAAUGCUGUUUCAGCUGAUGGUGUUCUGGUCAUAAAUAACAAUGGAAGUUUAAAAAAAAAAAAAAAAAAGGCUACCGAUGGCAUGAGAGCAUUAUCACCCUUAGCCACUGUUGAUAUUGUUGGAAUUCUGAGAUUGAUGAACACUGAGGAGUUUCAUGCCCUUUCACACUCAAAUUGACUCGUAUUUGUCUUUCACAGAAUCUUUGGUCAGUUAUGGAACAGUUGUGCUAGGAAAAUUAGGAGCAAGCAAACGAAUGGUUGAUUGAGGGCAAUUCAAUGACGUGUAUUGGUAGUCUGUUACUUUACUAAAUCGAUUUGCUGAUGAUCCUCAGAAUUGCAACAAGUGGCAACUAGGAUAAUGAUUCAGAGUGUACAUAUAAAACAAAUCAUCGAGUUUUCUUAUGGAUCAGGGCUUGGUACAAUCUGCUGGCUUGAAGGAAAGAAGAUUCUUCUGAAGGUCAUACCCAACUUUUGAGACGGCAAUGCUUUCACCACUUCAAUAGGGUGAUCUUUAUUGUUUCCUUCCAAAGUGCCUCUUCAGUCUCCUCCAUGAGUAAAUUAUUCUUGUGAUGCUACUUCACUUUUACAGACCCUGAAGGGCAUGCAGAAUUGAAUGAGAAAAUAAAAAGGAGUGCUUUUGCAGAUCAUAUACACACGUUGAUCAGAUUCUUCGUUGAAUAUGCUUUACAACUUGUUGCAGGUUGGCAGUGGGCCAUAAACAGAUAUGCGAACUGAGCUGGCAUUCAAAGAAAGAUUGCGUAUUCCCUGAGGAUGUGGGGUUUCUCUGUAUACGCGUUUUGCAGCGAAUCAAAUUUGUCACGGUUAGUUUCAUCAACACAACUACUAUAUUGUUUGUUCUAACGUGCCGACAAGUUCAUGGGUUAAGUGGUUGUGUUCUUGUGUGUGUGUGUCUCUAUAUAUAUAUAUAUAUAUAUAGUUUUAGUGUCAUCCAUGUAUGUAUCUCUGUUGCUUUCUCUAUCUACAUUUCACAUGAGAUAAGAACAGAGCAUUAAAAAGGGGGCGGCAAAGGUGAAGUGGGGAGUUGGUGGGUCUCAUGUUCAGGUGAUAACUACAGUUUUAAGUUUUGAACUUGCUCGCCUACUUGCUGAAUCUCUAUUCUUUCGGUGAAGAUCUUCCAGAUUAAAUUAACAAUCCGGCGUGCAUUGAAAUGUAUUAUAUAUAAUAUUCCUCUAAUGAUUGAUCAUUGGAUAAUAUAAUUCGCAUUUUCUCCUCGUUGGUUUCCAUUGUCCAUGGAUUAUAUAGACCAGAUACACUGUACGUGUCCCAAAAAUUCUUCUCUGCUGAGCUAUUUGGAUGUUGAUUGUUGGAUAGAGGAAGCGUAAUUUUAUUCC